rnacentral:lncRNA from 1 species
UAGAUUUUUAAUCAUUCGUGCGAAACAGGCUUAAGGCCGGUUUUAUAUGUGGUCGCGUCGAAUGCAAUCGAGACAAUAGACAAUGAGAUGAUAAACCUCAUUAAGCUUCAUUAUCUAUUGUUUGAAUUGCAUUCAAUGCGACCGAAAUUCGACAAAUAAAACAGGCCUAAGUCGCGAGAAUAUCUUGUGCGCAUAAAUAUGGAUUUGAACUUGUGCUCUCCCCAGUUGACUCAAUACCUAACACUUCCGGAAAGUACUUAGCCUUGUCUAUAGAGCUCGUUGUCGGGAUUGAGAUAUCGGCAUUAUAGCUCUUUAUCUUAUUGCUGAUGACCUAAGUAAAUUUAGGUCUUUUAUAGUGUCUAAUAUAACUGCAUGAUUUCGUAAAUGUGUCCAUCUGUACCAAGAUAAAGACUCUAAAUCCAAUAUCUCAAAUCAUGAAAACGAGGCUAUAUAACCAAGGCUGAGUACUUUCAGGAAGGGUGUAUUGGUAGAGCGUCAGCCCGGUUCGCUGAAUACGCUCUCGUUCACAGAGAUGAAAGUCAUAUAGAGCGUUUCCACUCAUUCCCAGGGACCAACUCAACAAAAAAGCCAUAUGGCGCGGCCAUGUUGGUGUUCCAGACAAAAGAGUCUAAUUAAAAUUCUUUUGAAUUGGAACACCAACAUGGCGGCUGUGAUACGCUCAAAACAGUAACAAAUUGUAGAAGGGUUUUGAAUAGAUUUUGAGUGUGAAUUUUAUACAUUUAUUAGACCUAAGUAGCCAAACAAGGAGCAGUUGUUAAAAAUACAACUAUAGAUCCUCUGGCAGGAAUCGAGCCUGCGUAAAAUUCACACACGAAAUCUCCAUCCACAAAAUCCUUCUCCAAUCAGUUCUGUGCAGAAUACCCCAAAUCCUGAUCAUAGAUAUCUUAAAUACACUAGAUAGCGCAUCUCCUUUAGUAAAAUUGAAGCCAAGAAUAUUCCAGCGGUUACCCCAAUUUGAAUAGAUGGCGGCCAUGUUGGUAUUUCCCACUCGCUAAUAAACGCUUAAAAAACAACAAUAACUUUCAUCAUUUGAAUAAUUUGAAAAUGUAUUUGGAAUAGGUUUAACUUAAUGUUUAAGUUCCCUCUUUAAGAAAUAGAAAACAUACGAGUCUUCUCAUUUCAUGGGAAUAUCCUGAGCCUGCACUCACGGCUUCAAUUUUUGAAUUGCAGAAUAAUUAGAUGCACUAUCUAGUGUAUAUAAGAUAUCUAUGAUCCUGAUAUGCAGUAUAUAACUAGGUGUAGUACCUCCUAACAUACCUCAUAUAUUUUUAAAAUGUAAAAAUUUGGUGAUCUUGAUAAGAAAGUUUAAAUAAUCGACGUUUUUAACAAUCGUCUUGACUUAUUAGGGAAUUUAGUCUCCGUUCAAACCAUUGGUUCAAACCUGUUCCACAUGGUCAGUCCAACAAUGUCGGAUGAAAAUUUUGAAUAAAGUCAAUUUGUCAAAUCUGCUCCAACAUCAGCUGGCAUUCAUUAGCAAACAAAACGAAACAUAUCGUGUAUAAAAAGACCAAAAAAUGUUGAAUGAUCCUACUAAACAUGUCAUGAAAGCAGACCCAAAAAUAUCGUGUCGAAGUGUGGAACAAUGUCGGAUAAAAACUUUGAACAGAGUCAAACUUCAAACAGACCCAAAUAUUUUGCAUCUAACAAUACAGGGGCGAGUUGUUCAAAAACCGAUUAGCUUAACCCUAGGUUAACAAUUUGUUUUGAAAUUUGAAAAUAUUUUUUUCACAAAUCAUGUCUGGAUCAAUAGGAGUUUUCUUUUCUGACAUUUUGAAAUAAAUGGACAUGUAGAAAUAUGCAAACUAAAACAGCGGGCUAAAUUUUAAUCCUGGGUUAGCGCUAAUCCACCUUUGAACAACCGACCCCAGGAUGUAAUCUUUGAACAGUUUGUGUGAGUGUAGAUAGUGGUAAUAUUAAGAAAGUUUCAGAUUGAUAGGGAUACAACUAAAUGAAAAAUACAAGGAGAACUUGAAAGAUCUGUGUUAGUGUAGGUAGUGGUAAUAACAAGAAAGUUUCAGAUUGAUAGGGAUACAACCAAAUGAAAAAUACAAGGAGAACUUGAAAGAUCUGUGUCAGUGAAGGUAGUGGUAAUAAUAAGAAAGUUUCAGAUUGAUAGGGAUACAACUAAAUGAAAAAUACAAGGAGAACUUGAAAGAUCUGUACCAGUGUAUGUUGUGGUAAUAAUAAGAAAGAUUCAGAUUGAUAGGGAUACAACUAAAUGAAAAAUACAAGGAGAA